UUAAUACUCCCUCCAUUUCAAAAUACUUGACUUCCAUUUGUCCAAAAAAUGGAUGUACCUAUAUACUAAAACAUGUCUAGAUACAUCUAGAUUUUGACAAAUGAAAAGCACGUAUUGUGGAACGGAGGGAGUACUAA
rfam:Triticum aestivum genome assembly, contig: Triticum_aestivum_CS42_TGACv1_scaffold_361703_4DS